rnacentral:rRNA from 1 species
UCACAUGACUCUCGGCAACGGAUAUCUCGGCUCUUGCAUCGAUGAAGAACGUAGCAAAAUGCGAUACCUGGUGUGAAUUGCAGAAUCCCGUGAACCAUCGAGUUUUUGAACGCAAGUUGCGCCUAAGGUCUUUUGGCCAAGGGCACGUCUGCCUGGGCGUCACGC